rnacentral:lncRNA from 1 species
GAUAAACAUAUACAUUAACUAGCACAGCACGAGGAUAUGGUCGUUAAGCACUGUGACGUCACCAAUGACGUUGGGCAAGGUCAGGAGCGGCCGGCGCCGCCUCAGUGUCGGGCUGACAGCCAGUAGACGUAGUUCCUUAGGCUGUGUCCCACUUCUUACAUCAUUUGCAGCUACACCGGUCAUCAGGUGGGUGUGGAUUUCUGUAAUGUAAUUCACGGAACCAAUUUCAUCUGAAUUACUUUGGUUAAGACCGGGUAUUUGGGUCUGGCUCGACAAUGGCCACGAGUCUUCUUGAGAAACUUUCAAGUGAACGGAGGACUAGUCAGUCACAAGGCACGGAACUAGUUCUGGCGUGACGUAGCUGCAAGUCUCGAUAGAGGUGGUUGGACGGUGUUGAACACGGGGCGGCUGACAACGUUGCAGGAAUAUCUGAAAAAGGAAAGUUGUUAAAACGUUCAGUUAAUAUUUAUUAGCAGGAAACUGUUGGAAAGGAUAUUCUGCAGAAUUAUAGAAAGAGCAUCUGUGGGACAUUAGAAACGACGCAGUAUAGAAAAUGGAUGAAGACGGGUGGCUGUAGCAGUAAGAAGGCCGGUGAAGCAUAGACUGCAAAAUUGGGAAGCAAGAUGCAAAAUAAAGGAAAGUUGUAAAUCUGUGUAUUGUGUACUUUGAAACUGUUAGAACUAUAGAAUCUGUUCCCUCUUAUGUUUAAUAUCUGGAGUAUGGUGUUAUGACUAUUGUUCGGCUUGUUUUCUGUAUUAACAAUGUGGUUCCGAUAAAUGUUAGUAUUGGAAUAAAUAUCCCUUAAUUAUAGACGUUAAUGUUUACACCUGUUUGUGUAUUCUUUAACGGCUGGCUAUGCACAGUUUAUAUAUCUACAAUGCCAUGUUUAUUGUUGUAACAUUGUCUAGGCCCAGUGUAUGUGACAGUGGCUAGAAUUUGAAGGUUUGUUAAUAAAGUGUUCUUAUUGGA